CUUCUGCGGCGCUUCCACGCUCAGUUUUGAUCGUUCGUCUUAUUUGAAAAAUUUUUAUAAUUAGUAUUUUUAUUAUUAUGAGAUAAUAAAACAUAAAUAGUACUUUACUCGUGACUUAUGUUUUUAAUUUUUUUUAAAUAAGACGAACGGUCAAAGUUGGGUGCGGAAAACCAUAGCUGCACUUAUA
rfam:Oryza barthii chromosome 9, whole genome shotgun sequence.